CAAUCAGUUUCAUUUCAAUCUUCAAACGCUGAGGAUCACCAGCAGCAGCAGCAGCAGCAGCAGGAGCAUCAGUAGCAGCAUCACAGGACCAGGAGGACCACUCGGAUUCCCUGGAACUACCGCCAUGUCCAGGCGGCGCUAGGAAGGCUGUUGCAUGCGGCACACAUCCCUCCGAUCCCGAACCAACCAGAAACACAAAAUACCAACAAAAUUCAGUCGAAAAGUUGCUAAAAUUCACAAAAACCGAAAGUCAGAUUAAUUUUUAUUACUUGUAAAACACCAAAAAAAAAACAACGCAUCCAAACUCCAAGAAAUACGAACAAUAUUUUCGUGAGAAUAUGGUUAAAGUAUAAACAACAAAAACCUAAAGAAAAAACACAAAAAACUAAAACAAAAAUCCACAAAAAUCAAAGACAAAAAGCAGUUCCGAAAAAAUCAAAAACAAAAUUCCCAAAGUUCACAAAACUCAAAAGAAAAUCGUUACAAAACCUGGAAGUCAAUUGGAAAGAAAAAACGCAAAACAAAAAUCUGCAAAGUGAAGAGUGAUAAUAAUAUCGUUUUUAUAUCUUACAGGAACCCCAAGCCGACGCAGGAGAACAGAAGUACAGCGGAGAGAGAGAAGCCACUAUUAUGGAUCGCAAGACAUCUCGAAACCCAUAUCCAUUCCAAACGAGAAAAUUGUUAUGAAACUCAACAAAAUUCUCAAGUGUUUACUGCUCAUAAUUCUCUACUGCAAUGACCAUUGGCCGCCAUCCAUUCAUCCACCGAUUCUCCACCGAUUAAGCCACAAAAAGGGGCCGCCAGUGCCGCCACAUCGCCAGAUCCGCCACGAAAUUCAAAUCUUCAACGAAAUUCAACUCAAAAACAACUCAAAGCCAAACUGCAGGCAUCUUCAGACACUGCCACGCCCAUACGCCACCAACAGCACCGCCGACAACGCCGCCUCCGCCCCAAGAGGAGGAGCAUUGUGCCCCAAGCAGCAAUCGAGGCCAGCAAAUCACUCAGAGUCCAGGCAGAAACUGCAAGGAAGGAAACCGAAAUUCAAGAAACCAGAAACCAAAACGCAAACACAACGACAGCUCGGGGCAAAUUCAGAAGAAGGCGCCAACGCUGUGUCGCUGUAUCGCUGUAUCGCUGAUGAUGAUGACAUCGAGAGCCGGCCACUCCCAGACGAGGAUCGAGCAUCUGAAGGCGACCGAAGGAGGCAAAAGGCAGCGAACGGCAGCGACUGAGGCAGCAGCAGCAACAGCAGCAGAGGCAGAGGCAGCGAUGUCGUUAUCUAAGGCAGCGCUCCCCUUUCGCAGGGGAAAAAGCUGCCUGCCCCCGUUGCCGCACACAGAUACGACGAGUAUCUAGAUAUUUAGCUGAAUAUCUAAGCAGCAGGGGCAGUGACUGCUGCCCCAUGCAACCCCUCGACAGGAAGGACACUCACACACACACACACGCACAAGCAUUACCACCCCAAGCAGGCGCUCCUGCGGCGAAUUCACACACAGGCGCACACCCCCUAAGCAGAACUCACGCACACAUUCGCAACCCACACAGAGACAGAGAGAGAGCAGAAAGCAGAAAGAGAGCGAGAGCUCACCUCAUCCGAUGGCGGCACAAAACAUUUCAUUGCAAGUAUGUUUCGACUUUUGUUUAGACCCUAAACUUCUGCCACAGGUUUCGAGGAAGAGCCAAAGUUCACGACUCAAAAGGAUCCAAAUCGAAAAGUGAAAAAAUUCUUUCAAAUUGAAUGCCUCUCAUUGAGGCCGAUGCAGAGGUAGAACCUUUGACAGCAGCAGCAGAAACAGCCAGUAAAAAGCAUAAAUUUCAAAAUCAAUCCGACAGUCAAAAUCCCCACUAAAAAAGAAACUCUUCUUCUACGGCAUCGCAGAAGGCUUCAUUUCCAGAGCCCCAGAGCACCCCCCCACCCCCACACCCUAAAGACCCAAGGAAUCAUUGAGCAAAGAUCCGCCCCCCUGCCACAUCUAAAAUCCACACACACUAUGCAAUAGUUUAUCAUUUUGUGUCCAAACGCAAAUCGAAUCCAAUGGAAAUUCCAAAUUCGCGUUUCGUCCUUACAAAUCCUUAGUUUAACCACAAAUCUUAAACCAAACCAAACAAACGUCUCAGAAAAAAGACGACAGUUUCGAAUGCCCCAGAGCUUCCAGGCACACACCAUUAAAUCAACCACCGCUUUGGUCCCUCACACACACACACACACACACACAACACUUUAGCCCACACACACAAGCAGGGGUGCGCUCAUACACACACACACACACACACACAUACACUCAAACACUCAAAUACACUCACACCCCUUUGGUAAUAAAAUGGCUGCAAAGGAAGCUGCUUCUACGAUUCCCAAGAAGAAAAGACAGAAAAAAAUAGCCACAGGACACGCGAAAAGAAAAUAUCAGAGAACCCAAAUCCAAGUUUUACUCACACAUUUCUUGGCGCUUUCAAUAUUUCGUUGAUAUUUUCAUCAAGAAAAGCAAAAGGCGUUUGCGGCAUUUUUUAAUCGAAAAAAGUUUUAUGAAAAUUCCAAAGAAAUAUUUAAUGCGCAAGAAAUGUUGAUGGAAAUUUGCACAGCACAGCAAAUCGAAGCCACUACCAAAACCCUAUAAAAGUGAAAGAACCAACCAUCUUUAAUCCCCCAAACCCAAGCACCCAGUCACCAACCCAAAAUGUCUCUUGGCCAUUGACACAGGACUCCAGAUUUGACCCCAAAAGAAAGUUUUAGGCAGGCAGCAUAUGCAAAGGGCAAAAACUAAACGAUUAGGCUAGCGAAAAUAUUCAAUGGGAACACAAAUGGGAACAGCCCACAAAACACAAUCCACCAUCUACGAAGAUUAUCUAUUACAAAGGAAAAUCAUAAUUAUUCAAAUCAAAGUUCUCUUUCCUCAAAAACUACAUUAAAAAUCAUAACCAAAUUCAAAAACCUCAAUUCUUUAUACUUUAGAGAUACAAAUCAGAAAGAAAAGACAAACAAAUCAGUUAUAAAGGAAAAACAUCUUCAAACAAAUUCAAAAUCAGAAAGAUUAUCAAGAAUCCACUUGAGAAAUUAUCAAAAAAAAUAUUUAAAGCCAUUUCAAUUAAUUCCAAAUCCCAAAUCAAAGGGUUUCAGUUCCUUAAAUUCAAGAAUCCACUUGAUGAAUUAUCCUACAAAAUCUAAAAAAAUCCAAAGACAAUUUCAUUCGAUACCAAAUCUCAAAUCCAAGGAUUUAAAUACUUCAAAAUUCAAAAAUCCACUUGAGAAAUUAUCCAACAAAAUCCAAAACACUCCAAAAAGACAAUUUCAAUCAAUGCCAAAUCUCAAAUCCAAGGAUUUAAAUACUUCAAAAAUCAAAAAUCCACUUGAGAUAUUAUUCAACAAAAUCCAAAACAAUCCUAAGAAAAUUUCAAUUGACUUAAAUUCAAAAAUCUAUUUGAGAAGAUACCAAAAAAAAAAUAUCCAGAAAAUUCCAAACACAUCUUCAAUCGAUUCCAAAUCAAAAGAUUUAAAUUCCUUAAAUUCAAAAAUCCACUUGAAAAAUUAUCCAACAAAAUUCAAAAACAAUUUCAAUCGAAUAUAAUUCCCAAUUCCAAGGUUUACAAUUCUUGAAAAUUCAAACCAAAAAUCGUACACUUCAAACACAAAUUCCAAAACCAAAUUCAGACUUCAAAACGAUAGAAAGGCACUCAAAUUCCAAAUCAGAAUAAAUAUUCUUGAAAUACACUUUGAAAAAUGAUCAAAAAAUUUAAUUAGAUAUCUCUUUCGCAGUUUAUAAAUAUAUUUAGUCCGUUAGACCCACUUGUAGAAGGCAAUAGAAAGUUAAACCAGAAGCAAAAUUAAUAAACAAAAAAAUCAGAAAUUCGCUUAAAAACAAGAAAAUAAAUAUAUAAAAUUUAAUUCGAUAAAUUCUGAGCAACAAAAAGCAAAUCAACAACAAAUACACAUGAAAUUAAAAUCAAAAAUAACCGAAAGAUAAAACAAAAGCACUAUGAAAGAAAUUCAAAAUUAGGAUACAUUUUAAAUCAAAAUCAAACAUCAAAAUAAACUAAAUCCAAAAUCAAAAUAAACAAAGUCCAAAAUCAACCAUUUUAAGACAGUGUCCUGAUAAAAAUUCCAUCCAAAUUCUCGAUAAGACUUCAAUGAACAGAUUUGUUAGAUUUUACUUUCGUUCAUCAUGAGAAAAUCAAAUUCUGAAAAGUAUAGCAAAUUCGAAUGAAAUUCUUAAUUAGACUUCACUUUAAAGUUUUCCAUUCAAAUUCCCACCAGAACAAAGCAAAGCUCUAAAAUAUACUAUCAAAUUCAAGCUGAUAAAACUUUAGCAAAAGAAUCUCUCCAAAGGUAAUGUUGAAAUUCCAAAUUAGACAUCGCUGGGAUAAACCUUUAGCAAGUUCCAUUACGAAAGAAUUUUCAAAUUCGAAACACGCUAAAUUAACCUUCAAGACAAUAACCUAUCUCCUUAUUUGAAACAUAUUAAGCUCUUCUGAAAUAUCUUCUUGAUCUAAAACAUCUCCAACAUUUUUCAAACCUAAAUUAUUAUUUAUGGUUACAUUUCAAAACAUUCGUUAUUUGGCUUCAAAAGAGUUUAAAUAAUUUUUAACCAAUUCCUUGAAACAAAAGAGUUUAAAUUAAUUUUUAACAAAUUCCUUGUAUCGAAAAUUUUUUAAAAUACCAAAUAACUCAAGAAAAUUUUAUUUAAAACACAAAAUAACCAAAAAGACCACAAAAGACAAAAGAAUCCAAUUUUAAAAAUACUAUUAUAACUAAAUCAAAAAUACAUCAUCAAAAUCAUCCUUCAAACACUUUUUAAGAUCCAAUUACAAACAAAAAACAACUAAAAACAUUCCAAAAAGAGAAUCAAAAGUAAAUUUAGACUUUCAUUUUCAUUUAUUUCAUUGGAAAAACUUUUAUCCAACUUUAAAUUCCAAAAUUUCAUUUCAAAUAUUACAAAAGUAUUUAACAAAUUUGAUGCUUCCUGAACCAAAGUCCGGUAAUAAAUUCUUAUGAAAUUCUAGGAAAUUCAUUAUGAUAGAACAAUUCCCACUCAAAUUAUAUUAUUUAUUUGCUGCAAUUCAAGAAAUUCAAAAGCUAAGAUAUCAAGCACGAAAGAAAUAUCAAAAAUGCAAUCAAAUAGUUAACAACAAUCAAUCUUUCAUGUCUAAUCCAAAAAAGAAAUAUCCAAACCAAAAAAAAAGAAAAUAUCCUAAUUCCAAAAAGUACAAAAUUCAAAAAUAGUAUUUAGAAGCAGGAAAUAUCCAAAAUAUCCAAUCUUCGAAGAGUAAAAUAUUGAAAGAUAGUAAAAGAAAAAGCAAAAUAAAAUAAAUAUCCAAAUUCUGAAGAGUAAAACAAUUAAAAAAUAUCCAAAUUCAAAAAAGAAAUAUCCAAAUCCAAAAAAAGAAAAUAUCCAAAUAUCCGAAGAGUAAAACAUUUAAAAAUAGUAUUUAAAAGAAAAGAAAUAUCCUAGUUCCGAAGAGUACAAAAUUCAAAAAUAGUAUGUAGAAGCAGGAAAUAUCCAAAAUAUUCAAUUUUCAAAAAGUAAAAUAUUGAAAGAUAGUAUUUAAAAGAAAAGAAAUAUCCAAAUUCCGAAGAGUACGACAAUUAAAAAAUAGAUUUUAAAAGAAAAUAAAUAUCCAAAUUCAAAAAAGAAAAUAUCCAAAUCCAAAAGAAAAUAUCCAAAUUCCAAAUAUUAUUUAGAAGAAGUCCGAAGAAGUUCAAUUGUCUCGACAUUCGUAUUAACAUUUCUUUAUCUAAAUUAUUUUAUUUUAGAAACUGAAAACCUAGAAAUCCAAAAUUCAAAUUUACAACUUUCGGCUUUCUCUGGCAAUCAUCAAAAUCUGAAAAGCCACACAUCAAAAUUCCAACGAAAUUCCAACAAAAUUCCACCACUGACCGGCCACAAAAUUCAAAAAUACAGCUUAAAUUUAAUGCUUUCUAAAAAAAAAAAAAAACACUUAGAACAACAGGUAAACCGAUUUUUAGCUCAAAAUAACCUUAAAGAACUCAAAAGAUAUCAUCUAAGUCCACAAAAAUACCAAAAAAAACCGAAACCAGCCAAAAACAACAACGAAAUCAAAUUGAAAAUUGCAAAAAAAAAUAUACAAAAAUUACCACAAAAGAAAACAAAAGUCCCGGCAUUCACGAAGAAUCCUUCGGUGCAUAAUUAUGGCCACAUUAUGAUGAUUAAGUACUACCGCGGACAGUUCUGAAACAAAAACAAAACCAAAAACGAAAACGAAAACCGAAAAAAAAGAAGAAAUUAUGAAAUUCCAGCAAAAUUCCAAAAAGACAGGAUUAUAAAUUACAAGAAAUUGCGGAAGUUUUAAUGCGACAAAUGUCAGAAGCAAAAAGGAGCCCGCGCGCUGUGGCAGGCAGAAGACGCGAGCGACAGGGAGGCCGAGGCCGCCACAAAAUGCUGGCAACUUUUCUGGCCCAAAAUCUUACAAAUGGCGGCCGAGGGCGAGUCGAGUCGAGAGGCAGGGCGGCAGAUAAAUCACAGCGAAACAAAACAAUUCCCAGCUCUCUCCGCACAAAAACAAACCAGAACCAGAACCAGAAUCGGUAUCCGAAUCCGAAUCAGUAGCAAAAUCCAGACCCAGAGACAAAGAACACGCGAUUUCAAAGAACUUUUUGCAUAGAACAAGAAGAAGAAAAAGAAGGGGUUGAAGGCAUAAACAAAAUUCAAAAACUAUAAAACCCAAAGCACAAGCACACACCGCCACAGAAGGCCCAAGAUGGACCACUUUGAUGGCCUCCCGGGAGAGAGGCUUCAAGAGCAUUACUUUCGCUCGAAGGCCGCCACACAAAAUAAAUACAAAGAUGAAUACUAUGAAAACUAUGAAAACUACAACUUAACCCAAAUUCAAUUCGAAAUCAAAAUCAGAAUCAGAAACGCAAACAAAAUGAAGGCAUCAGCCAGCACCCAGCAGAACUUUAAGUAAUAUUUUUGAGACGAGUGUCACACGCAAAAACCCCGCCACCUCCCGCCUCAAACUCCAGACACAGCCCCAGCUACCGUUCAGACCUUUCAAAUUGUGGUCAGGCGAGAGGUUUCUUUUGGCAAAAGUUCGAACCAUCAUCGUCUAUACAUUCAGAGCUCCACCAGCAGCAUCAGCAUCAGAGCAUCAGAGCAUCAUGCAGUUGAAAGCACAUCAAACAAAACUCCAAAUUUAUAUAAACUACUGGCAAUAGUCGAGGUCGAGGCAUAAUUGCCAUCAAUAAAUAAAAUAUGGCCUGGGGCAGGGGAGCACCAGCACCAGCAGCAGCCCAAGAGCAGACCCUGAAGAGAGACACCAAUCCUGACAAUCCCUUUCCCAGAUACAGCAUACAGCCCCAACUUCAGCAGCAUCAGCACUCAAUGGCCACUAGACAGCAAGGCAGAGCAGAGCAUUUUGAUUUAUAAAUUCAUGGCGAAAGUUGCCAGGCCAAGCGGCAGCCAACGCCACCACCCCACCAGAACCCGCCCCACACCACACCACACCGCACCACACCACCCCAGUCAAUCGCCACACGAUGACGACACACACCACCAGCAACAACACCACCUAGAGACUUGGCAGCAAAGCAACAAGAAAAUGCAAAAACCGUCUUAUGAAAUUACACAUUUCCGACUUGUACUAACAGCAGCAGCAAAAAACACCAACUAAAACAACAUCCAAGCCGAGGCCAAAACCGAACAUUUAGAAGCAGCAGACCCCUCCCGCCUCCCGACCCCCUUCAGACACAACACGGCGACAAUCCAGCCCAGAAAUUUAGUUAUGAAACCAUCAUCAUCCGGAGACCAGAAAACAUAGAAAACCAGCAGCAGGGGAACAGGAAAAUCGGAAGCAAAUCUUCCAAAUUUUUUUGGCUAGGAAAAUGCACGUUUCGGGCAAUUUGGAAAUUUGCAACAUCAUUGAGACGCGCAGCAGACGCGAGUAGCAACCACGAAGAGUAGCAAAUGGAAUCUUGUACAAUAGUUCUAUUGAAAGGCAUAUAAAAACCCCUCCAUUUCCGACCCACGAUCUAUACGAGAUCUUAGAAAGAUAGAGAGAGACAGUUAGAGGAGAUAUACAUAGUGAAUAUAUAGAGAGAGAGAGACAAAAAGAGAGAUAGAGAUAGAUACAGUGCACAAACAGAGAGAUAGAAAACACAAAAAAAAGGAAGAACACAUUUCGGACACAAGGUGGGGAUACCUAGUGUAAUUGCUUAGUCCUAAGAGUGCUGCACUUGCACGGAACCCAAGUGCAGGACUGACUGACCCAUGACCCACCACAGACCCCCCCAGUACCUCCCCCCAAAAUGUAUACCCUUUGGUCAGCUGAAACAAAAAAUGAUCAGAAAUUUGAUUCAGUAACGCACGAAGCUUAGGCCUAUCUAGACCCCAAAAAAAA